CAUUAAGAAGCUAUGCAACAGCACUAGCCUUUUAAGCUAGCCAAAGAGGAACAACCCCCUCCUUAAUGA
rnacentral:tRNA from 1 species